rnacentral:rRNA from 1 species
UACGAAGGGGGCUAGCGUUGCUCGGAAUCACUGGGCGUAAAGGGUGCGUAGGCGGGUCUUUAAGUCAGGGGUGAAAUCCUGGAGCUCAACUCCAGAACUGCCUUUGAUACUGAGGAUCUUGAGUUCGGGAGAGGUGAGUGGAACUGCGAGUGUAGAGGUGAAAGUUCGUAGAUAUUCGCAAGAACACCAGUGGCGAAGGCGGCUCACUGGCCCGGUACUGACGCUGAGGCACGAAAGCGUGGGGAGCAAACAGGG